UACGUAGGGUGCGAGCGUUAAUCGGAAUUACUGGGCGUAAAGCGUGCGCAGGCGGUUUUGUAAGCCAGAUGUGAAAUCCCCGGGCUUAACCUGGGAAUGGCAUUUGGGACUGCAAGGCUCGAGUGCGGCAGAGGAGACUGGAAUUCCUGGUGUAGCAGUGAAAUGGGUAGAUAUCAGGAGGAACACCGAUGGCGAAGGCAGGUCUCUGGGCUGACACUGACGCUCAUGCACGAAAGCGUGGGGAGCAAACAGG
rnacentral:rRNA from 1 species